rnacentral:ncRNA from 1 species
AGAUGGAUUUAGGUUUGAAAGAUAAUUAAAAUUUCUAAUUUGUUUAAUAAGUUUGACUCUUGCUUUAUUUUUUGUUAUUAGGUUUAUAGAAUAUAUGCAAAAUUUGGUAUGAAUAGAAAGCUCAUCAUAAUAAUUUAAUAUUUUUGAGUCUAGAAAGGAGAAAAUAGUUUAUAAAAAUUUAAGUGGCAGUAUUAGAUUUUUGAUGGUUUAGUGAAAGCUAGAGUAAGUAAAAUAAUAAGGUCUGGUUAAACUCUGUGCCAGCAGCCGCGGUUAUACUAAGGGGUCAAAUAAAAAUGUAUUAGCUAGAUAGUUAGUCGGAAUUUGUAUUUAUGGUACUUUACUAUAUCGAAAGGUGAAAUUUAUUAGAUAAUUAUAACGUAAACAAAUAUAGGUGCUUAUUAAUGAUGAAACUAUUAAAUUAUAGGGAUAAACCAGGAUUAGAUACCCUGUUAUACUAUAAUUAAAAAGAGUUUAUUUAAGGCUAGAGUAGUAAGAAUUAAUUGGUUUAAAAUUCAAAGAGUUUGGCGGUAUUUUAGUCCUGUUAGAGGAACCUGUUUUAUAAACGAUAAUCCUCGUAAAAUCUUUCUUGCUCUCGUUAAGUUAGUAUACCUUCAUUAUUAGAUGAUUUCUUUUUGAUAUAAAUUAUUGUAAUUGAUUAAAAUCAAAGAUAUUAGAUCGCGGUGCUGCUAAUGAGCAAGUAUAAAUGGGUUACAAUAAUAUUGAAAUUAGACGGAUUUAUUAGUGAAAACAAUAAUAAAGGUGGAUUUAAUUGUAAUGUAGGUUUAACAAGCCCUUAUGAGAUAGGCUCUAAAAUGUGUACAUAUUGCCCGUCGCUUUCAUUACUUUAGAUGAGAUAAGUCGUAACAUAGUAGGUGUACUGGAAAGUGCUCCUAGAAGA